rnacentral:rRNA from 1 species
GAUGAACGCUGGCGGCGUGCCUAAUACAUGCAAGUCGAGCGAACAGAUAAGGAGCUUGCUCCUUUGACGUUAGCGGCGGACGGGUGAGUAACACGUGGAUAACCUACCUAUAAGACUGGGAUAACUUCGGGAAACCGGAGCUAAUACCGGAUAACAUAUUGAACCGCAUGGUUCAAUAGUGAAAGGCGGCUUUGCUGUCACUUAUAGAUGGAUCCGCGCCGUAUUAGCUAGUUGGUAAGGUAACGGCUUACCAAGGCAACGAUACGUAGCCGACCUGAGAGGGUGAUCGGCCACACCGGAACUGAGACACGGUCCAGACUCCUACGGGAGGCAGCAGUAGGGAAUCUUCCGCAAUGGGCGAAAGCCUGACGGAGCAACGCCGCGUGAGUGAUGAAGGUCUUCGGAUCGUAAAACUCUGUUAUCAGGGAAGAACAAAUGUGUAAGUAACUGUGCACAUCUUGACGGUACCUGAUCAGAAAGCCACGGCUAACUACGUG